rnacentral:lncRNA from 10 species
CUAGCUAAAACUAAUUAAACGCUAGGAAUUUUGAGUAACCCACUUACCCUCACUGGACCCUUUCUGCAUCUAACUGAAGAUAUUCGUGAUCAAGAAGCAAGAGACUGUUUCAGCUCUCAUGUACAGAUCUCAUCCUUGUAUGAAAGCUAGUUCUCAGUGCUUAAUUAGCACCAGCAGCGUGGCCCUACAUUUCGUAGCAUUUAAAACCUUGAGUUUUGUCCUUAGGUCCACAUAUGCAGUUGUUCCCUAAUAAGCUCAGCUCAGCUCCAGGCCACCCCCAGCUCUGUGGCCCAUGGUUUUUCUAUUAUUGUUUGUCAUCUCUAAUUAGCCUCUUCUGCCUCACCACUACUUAAUUAUUUAUCCUUCUCAGAACUUCUGGAAUGUAUUGUACUAUAUUUUACUUUUAAAAUAUGUUGCCAGUGUUCUUAGUUUGUCAUUUACAUGAAUUUUCUAUGACAAAGUACAUCCCUAAUACAAAGCCUUAAGCAAUCUCAUUAAGGGCAGAUUACUGAUAUCUAAUUUCUUUUCCCAUUCCUAGAAGCAGUGGUCUUCAAAGUGUGGCCUCCAGACAGCAAUAUCAAUAUCAUCUGGGAAUUUGCUAGAAAUGUAGAUUCUCAAGCCCCAGCUCAAACUCAAUGAAUCAGAGACUCGGAGUGUGGGGCCCAGCAGUCCUUCAGGUGUUUCUAACCACAUAUUAAAAUUUGACAAUCAUUUACUGAGGAUAUUGCCCCUGGUAGUGUCUUAAUAAAUGCCUGUUAGGUUGACUCUGAUAAUCCUUUCUCUCAAGCUAUCUUAAAAAGAAGGGAAUCCAAAAAUUCCAGAAAGAAAUGAGGAAAAAAGUUACAAAGAAUGAAGUAGGGAGUUUAGGUUUAUGAGCAAUUAGAGGGAACUGAGUCUUCACAAAGAAACACAGUAUCCUGAUUUCCUAUCUCAUGCUUGAUUUUCCUACAUUGUCUCACCCCAGCUGCAUGAUUCCAUGUAUCUCACUAACCCUCCUGGUUGCCUUCUGUAAGGUUACACGUGGAUUCUGAGAAAAUUCUUUUUCAACUUUCUAUCCCUUAUUCCCAUUUCAGUCUAUGUCUUCACAGAAAAUUAUCACUGCAAAGCUGAGCAGUUUCUGGAGAAACUUGGCUCAUUCACUGAACUCUUCAGCAAGGGUUGGUUCCCUUUGCACAUCUUCACUAAACUUGGAGCUUUUUGAUGACUCUCAUUUUCUAUUACCACCAUAAUCUUUAGAUGUCCAGGUUGCUUGGGGCAAAGAUGGAAGUUGGAAGUAAGGAAAAACAUGGAGUUGGAAUUGGAUGAUGAAUGCUGAAGCAAAAGAGGACUCAACGUCUCUAUGGUUUUGCUUUUUGCUGGGCCUUUCUAAAUCUUGUGAGCACCUGAUAAAUGUCCAUUUGAUUAUGUUGAGCUCUUUGGAGCAGUGGCUCUCAACCCUGAUUAGGAUGUCAGAAUCCUUUGGAAGAAUUUUUUUUUAAUCUAUGGGCAUGGAACCCAGCCAUCAGGAUUUUUUAAAAUUUCCCAGAUGGUUUCUAUGAGUAGCUAAGGUUGAGAACCAUGGUUUUGGAUUUCCCAAUUGAAGAUUGCAAACCGUGACAUCACUUUGCCUAUUUUUCUGAAUAUUCCUCUUUCUACAGUCAGCUUUCAAUAGUGAGACUACAACUGGAUCAAAAAAUUACACAAGAAAAGGGAAAACAAGCCAUCCUUCAGCAACUCCAGGAAAAAAUCAAGGUCCAUACAAUGAUGGGGUAGUAAAUGCUAAUACCAUCUAUCUCCUUCCCUUGUAUUUAUCCCUGUUUUUUUCCCGUCUUUCCCCUCUGGCUUCCUAUUCUCCCUUUGUGGCAAGAUAUCCACUAUUCUUGAAGAAAGCUAACCAGCAAACCUGCUAAUAUUCAAGCUUCAGUGACCCAAAAGGCUAGAAAGGUAUCUAACCCAAGGAACUUCCUUAUCAUGCUCUGGGAGACAGUGUGCUGCCUCAUGGAAGGACAUAGAUGUCUGAGUCAGCAUCGAAAAAAAAAAGGUAUUGAAACAUUGGCUUGGGACUGAGAAAUGAUAUUAGUUUUGUGCAAAAGUAAUUGCGGUUUUUGCCCUUGAAAGUGAUGGUUAAAACCGCAAUGACUUUUGCACCAACCUAUGGAUCAGUAAUUGAUGCACAAAGACAUGACAUAUGAGAAUACCAAGUGGACUGCUUGGCACAUAGCAGACAUUCAACAGAUGCUUUCACUGACAACUUUUGCUUUCCUCCUCAAUCACUCACUUUUUAGAAUCCUUGAAAACAUUUUACAAAUUUUUCAAAUAUUCAGGAAACAUAAAAUAACAUCAGAUUUAGAGAAGAAUUAUUGACUGUAGCCAAUUUUUGGACCUAUACAUUUUUUAAAUUAUGUGAUGGGAAUCUCUUCAUGUUUUAGAGCAACAUGGUUGCAUAUCCAUUAUACACCUUGCUAAAUCAUCCUUUCUAUCUCUGAGGCAAUAAAAUUCAUUAUCCUGGUUAGUUUGAGGAUAUACUUAACCCAUAAACACCAACAGCAAGUAUAGAUUCAGACAUUUGUAUCUAUAACUUAGAUAAUUUAAAAUGCAAUAUUAAAUAAUCCAAAAAUUUUUCAAAGCUCAGUACCUUUUCACACAUUAGUACUUUAAUUAUCAACUUUAAAGAGAAAGUGAGUAGAAAAGGGUUAGUAAGUAGAAAAGAGUAAAAGAGGCCUUUCUUUCACAAUUUGCCAAGACAUGCAUCACUUAUUUAAAAUCAAACAAAAUGCUGUCUGAAAAACAAGAAGGAUGGCAAAAGUGAAGUUCCUUCAUGCAAGGUACCUCUGACUACUCUCUGCAGACAGAUACUAUGGCAUGGUGAUAGAAUUAUUGCAGGAAAAAUUUGUCCACUGAGGCCACUUCCUCCAGAGGUAAGGUUCAACUUAUGAUCACUUGCUAUAGGUCAACAGCUCAAGACGAGGUGUGUGGCUGGCAAUUUAAGUGUAAAAUUAGAUUUCCAGUAUAAUCAGUCAUCUGAUAGCACAUCCAAAUGUAUUCUGCAUUUGCACAUUUAAUUAAUUAUGUCUUAAUUGAAAACAUUUUGCUCAUAAUGAUUGGUUCUAAUUUUAUUCCAAAUUAAAUUAGUAGGGGAGAAAUUUAGUCUGGGAAUUUAUUUAUUUUUAUAUAUUAAAGAAAAAAUAAAAAUAAUGGAUUUUCUCUUUUAUUCUUAAAAGGAAAUGUCUUUCUGCCCAUUUAGAGGUGCAAAGGAAAACAUUUAAAACAUUUCAGAUAAAUUGCAUUUCAUCUGAAUGAAUCUCCAUUUGGAGAUGGAGAGAACAUUCUUUUGUAUUGUUGUAGAUAUGCCUAUUAUGAUAUUGGUAUAAUU